UACGAAGGGGGCUAGCGUUGCUCGGAAUCACUGGGCGUAAAGGGUGCGUGAGGCGGCGCGGAAAGUCAGGGGUGAAAUCCCGGAGCUCAACUCCGGAACUGCCUCUGAUACUCCCCGCGCUAGAGAGCGUGGAGGGGACAUCGGAAUUCACGGUGGAGCGGUGAAAUGCGUAGAGAUCGGAAAGAACACCAACGGCGAAAGCACUCUGCUGGGCCGACACUGACACUGGAGAGACGAAAGCUAGGGGAGCGAAUGGG
rnacentral:rRNA from 1 species